AUAAAUAAUUUAAUUUGGAUUGUAUAUUUUUUUAACAUUUAAUAUUGUUCAAAAUCAAAAUAUAGAGAAGUCAAUGUUGGGAAUUAUAUUUCACUGUUCUUCGGUUUUCCCGCCAUACGUCACAAAAGUUCGAAAAGAAACAAACAAGAACAACAUGGCGUCCACACCAAAAAGAAAUACAAAACAGGAAAAAAGAAGAAAAGGCAGGAAGACGUUGUUGGCUUCUUGCACAGUGUGUCUCCGUUGAAAAAAGUUCCAAACCAACAAAAAGUACAAGUUUCAAUGCUGUACAAUACACACUGGUACAGACAAGCAACGGUAGGUUACCAAGUGGCUACAGAAGACAAUUAAUUGAGAGAGCCAAUGGUAUAAUAACCAAGAAUAUCCUGCAAGUUGGACAUGAGGCAAAACAGAAAUACUUGAUGUAUAAUUCAGAGACUUUUAGUUGAUGAACUGGUGGGUUACAAAGUGGCAAUGUAAGACAAUUAGAGAAGAGACUCACAGAACCAAGAAUAUCUUGAAAGUUGGACAUGAAGCCAGACAGAAAUUCCGAGACUUUGUCCAGUUGAUAAACUGGUAAGUGAAGUUUAGAGUUUACUGAUUGUUAUUUUCUUUAAUGUUCAUGAAAUUUACAUUUGAAUUUGAAAUUUUAAUGUGUCAAGAAGUUAAUAGUGUGAUUUUGUGUGACUUCAAAUGGAGCCUGCCUUUGCAGAUACUGGCUGCAAGGCCAAGUGGUUAACAUGUCAGACUAGUAAGCUAGCCUCAUGGGUUCAAACCCCGGCAAGUUGUUGUUUCCUUGAACAAGAAACUUUACACUCAUUGCUCAGUACUAGUUGGUUCCUGGAAUGAAUUCGAAAGUGUGUCUAUAAGCUUUAAAUUAAGCUUCCUAUGCAAUCAAACUAAAAUAAAUUCUGUAUAUAAAAUAAACCAGAAUUAUGAUUUUGUUACAAUAAUUUUGCAAACCCUGUAAUAAUAUGUGUUAAUAUUUCUACAUAAUUUGAUGCAUCCUGUUGACUUGGUUGUUAAAAAUUCUGCAAGAUAUCUCUUGCUAUUGAAUUCUCCUGGGGACUUUGAAUUAUUCUGUGUGAUUCUUAAAGGGUAUAAAUCUAUAUCUUAUGAAUUUUCUAAUAGAAUUUAUCAACUGUAAAAUUAUAUUGGUUCCAUUGUUAUAUGGUUGAUUUCAGAAAAAGUUGUAACAUAGAAUGUGUCUGUUAUUUAAUACACAUGAAUAAUGUACAUAAACAAAAUAAAAUGUUCUUGUACAUUAAAAUAUUAUUUUGCUAUUUUAAGAAGGGUUUUAUCAGUUAAGCAAUGAUUUUGUGCAUACACCAUUCGCUUUUAAGGCUAUCUAUUUCAUACAAGCAUUUGAAGGUAUACUUUUUUAAAAUUCAAAUAAUUAUUUUUCUAUCAUACACUUAAAAACUUGUUGUCUGCAAAAAAUGUAGGUACAGUCAGGAGUAAAGAUAAGGUACUGAGUUUGGUGAACUUGAAAAAGAUGUUUCAUCAUACAGUGUAGAAUGGCCCUUUGUAGUGCAAUAACUUCUUGAAAGACCUUUUUGGAAGUUUUCAUAUAGACAUACAUUGUAUAGGCAAAAUUAACACUGUUCAAUAGAUUUUAUUAAAAUUUGGCAUGUUGUUACAAUAUGAUAAUGGAAACAUUUUAAGAAAAUUUUAUGAAAAAAAGGGGGCGGGGUCACCAUCCUCGUUGUUGAAUUAUCUGCUCCUGAAUUGGACUUUAAUGCUUAAAUCAAGGGCAGAUAAUUCACAAUAAAGGUAAAUAAUACCUAAUUUUUUGCUUAUUUUAUAUAGUUUACUUCCUUUUGAGUCAAUGUGCAAAAUUUCAGUUAAGGAUAAAGAGUAAGUAGAUUGGCUUUUUUUCCCCUUCUUUUCUAAACCUGUGACUUUUUUCUUAAAAAAUUGCCUAUUUCUUUGAAGAAUUUUAAGUCCCUUUAUUCAAACUGAAAAAAAUAACAGAAAUAAGAUGGAAUUACCUGUAAUUAUGUAUUGUAAUAACAAUAAAAAGAAAAACAUCCAGAAGUAUAAACAAGAUUAUAUAGACAUAUGUUUAAGUUACCUGCCUUUAAAAUGACCUCAGAUAAGUUAAAAGAUUCUGAUUCAAGGGCAGAUAACUUAGAAAUGACCUUUAAAUUUGUUUCGACCGCUUCCAUGGUCGAGGGGUUAGUUUCGAUGACUUCUUAUCCAGUUACCUCUCUGGCAUGGGUUCGAUCCCCUGGAGAUGCUUUGGUAGUUUAGCACGGAGGAAGGUUAGUCUAGUACUGGUGUAACUCUCCAGGAAUUAUGGUUAGGAAACUACCUGCCUAUAUGACUGAUAUACUGUUGGGAAAAGGCAAAAAUGAAACAAACAAAGAAACAAACAAACAAAUUUGUUUCCCUUUGACACAAAAGUUUCAUUACAAGGUUAUUUUCCUUAACUUUUCUAUAGAUUUGGUUGAAGUUGAUAUUACGGUUCAUCAUCCCUAGCUUUAAAUGACUGGUGGAAUCCCCUCUAAUUUCCUGUUUAUGUACAUAUCUCUAACAUUUAGGUUGACUUUAUGCCAUUUUCUGUACAUGUCCAUGUCUAUUAACAUUUAUACUGUACCAUUUCCUGUACCUACACACAUCAGUUUAUACCUUUUCUUCAGUAAUUGUACACACCCAUAACAUUUAGUUCCUGUACUGUACACAUAUUUAGUAGCAUUUAGGUUAGUUUCAUGCCAUUUCCAUUGCCUGCUUAUUUCUUUCAUAUUAAGGUUAACUUAAAGCCAUUUCCUGUCGCUCUUUACAUAUAGGUUGACAAAAUUAUUUUCCUGUUCACAUCUGUUACAUUAAGAUUGACUUAUGUCAUUUCCUAUACCAAUACAUAUCUAUAACAUUUAGAUCCACAUCCUGCCAUUUCCUGUUCCUGAAUCAGUACAUAUCUCUCAACAUUUAGGUUGACCUCCUGCCACUUUCGGCACAUGUACAUAUCUCCAGGGAUAAAAACAGACCAUUUAACCUUGGUGGCCACCUGGACCACUGACUGUAAAAUUUUCAUGGCCCAAUAAUA